rnacentral:misc_RNA from 1 species
GUAGUUGUCAUGGCUCUUCAAGAGAAUAGGGACUCCUACAAGGUCAAAGCUUUCUCCUUGUCCGAGUUUGUGCAGCAGUGUUCCGACUGCCACCAGCUGUGCCUCGAAAAGACGGCCCGCGUUGUGGAAAACCGCAGUCGUGCCCCGCGGGGAUGGGAGGCACUUUUCGACUCCGUUGCGGAGGAGCGGCGGUCUGAGGACUUGGACCUCUGCGAGUCGCGAUGCCGGUACAUGCAGGCCACCUGCCCGUCACAGGACAGGGUACAACAGUACGAGGAGGCUCUCGCCGCCGCGUCACUCAAGCCGAAGAAGAGGACGCCGCCAAACUCGUCUGUGCUGCAGGACGCUUCCCGGUGCGAGCACGCGGUCGAGGUCUUCUCGAAUGUCCUGUUUGCCUUGGCGCACAAACCCAGCAAGGUAUCCUUCCCGACCAAGGACCUGAAAACGGGAGGCACCAACGACGCCGAGUCCCACGCCGAAGCGCCUACGGAGGCCCACCGAAAGGUGCUCGAGGGGUCUAAGAGCAUGGACAACGAUAUCUGGCGCCGCUGGUGCAAGCUGCGCCAAGAGCGCAUCGGCUCAAAUGCACAGGACAUCACUUCCUCGACCGGCUCCAGCUCGCUGCCGGACACGGCAGCAGCUUCGGCUGGGUCGAGUGGCACGACCCCAAAGUGGUGACUGAGAGCGGCUUGUUGAUGCUUUCUCGCCACGUGCUCCGCUCAAAGGUGUCUCGUAUUCCUUUUGGCCAUGAUAAACGUUAUGUGGGCUGGCGCCACGUUUUCUUCCUCUCCCAUGCAGUGCCCGGUACGGACUCUUCCAUUUUCUCGUUUGGGCGAGGGCCGCUUUACGGCCUCGCGUUGUGUCAGAAGAAGGCGCCUGAUAAUAGCAGGGCAACGUCGGCGGCUACUGCUUCGCAAGCAGUACGUCUCCUCCGAGGUUUAGUGUGCGUUUCUGGCGCUGUUUGCCGUUGCACACCAGCACAACAGCUGCUGCACUCUGCUGUUUCAUGUACCUUGCACAGGAACUCAUCUCUCUGAGGCGUUGGCAGGAGGCGUGUUUACUGAAGGAGAAAAAUUCCCCGAGCGCGGAAACACAACUACCUCCUCUGGGCUUUCAACCAGAAAGAAUCUGCUCGGGGAGCAACGCCUUCGCCAUUCCUUUCUCACUAGUCCCCGGAGUUCCUUUUUCCGUUUUUUCUUUUUGAUGUGCGUGUGUAGGAGAAAAACCGUUGGCGGCGGACAUGCUCGUGCGUUUAAAAUCCGUUCGCGGAAAAGGGUGCCUGCUCGUUCUUUGCACGUAAGGGCCCCGCCCUCCCGUCC